AGAGUACGAUUUGAGCCAAGGAUGACUUGCCGGCAUCUGAAAAAGCUUGAUCCUUUUCUAAGAUAUUGCCGGCGAGAUAUCCGGGCUCAUUUUUGCUCUCU
rnacentral:pre_miRNA from 1 species